UACGAAGGGGGCUAGCGUUGCUCGGAAUCACUGGGCGUAAAGGGUGCGUAGGCGGGUUUUUAAGUCAGAGGUGAAAUCCUGGAGCUCAACUCCAGAACUGCCUUUGAUACUGGGAAUCUUGAGUAUGGAAGAGGUGAGUGGAACUGCGAGUGUAGAGGUGAAAUUCGUAGAUAUUCGCAAGAACACCAGUGGCGAAGGCGGACUCGCUGGUCCAUAACUGACGCUGAGGCACGAAAGGCGUGGGGAGCAAACAGGG
rnacentral:rRNA from 1 species